rnacentral:lncRNA from 1 species
GGGAACAGUUCUGGACCUGGCAAGGGCUUGUUAUGGUGACAAGAGGCAGGGGAGGCAAGGUACAGAUGUAGAAGGCAGACUGCAGGAAAGGGGUGAAGUAAAGGCGAGAUUCAAGCGACUGUUCUAAAAGAUCUCAUCUUUAUGAUACUGAAGCCAUGUCCUGGAGGAGCAAGCUUGAGAUGAGUCCCCUGGGAAGAGAGAACCUCAAAUGAGAAAUGCCAAUGCCCCCUUCAGACUGGCCUCCAGUAGAUUCAAGUUGUGCUUCGAUCAUCAGACUUUGAUGAGGACAGUGUCCU